rnacentral:rRNA from 1 species
GCAGUGGGGAAUAUUGGACAAUGGGCGAAAGCCUGAUCCAGCCAUGCCGCGUGUGUGAAGAAGGUCUUCGGAUUGUAAAGCACUUUAAGUUGGGAGGAAGGGCAUUAACCUAAUACGUUAGUGUUUUGACGUUACCGACAGAAUAAGCACCGGCUAACUUCGUGCCAGCAGCCGCGGUAAUACGAAGGGUGCAAGCGUUAAUCGGAAUUACUGGGCGUAAAGCGCGCGUAGGUGGUUUGUUAAGUUGAAUGUGAAAGCCCCGGGCUCAACCUGGGAACUGCAUCCAAAACUGGCAAGCUAGAGUAUGGCAGAGGGUGGUGGAAUUUCCUGUGUAGCGGUGAAAUGCGUAGAUAUAGGAAGGAACACCAGUGGCGAAAGGCGACCACCUGGGCUAAUACUGACACUGAGGNGCGAAAAGCGUGGGGAGCAAACAGGAUUAGAUACCCUGGUAGUCCACGCCUUAAACGAUGUCU